rnacentral:rRNA from 1 species
UACGUAGGGGGCAAGCGUUGUUCGGAGUUAUUGGGCGUAAAGCGCGCGCAGGCGGCUUCGCGCGCCCGACGUGAAAGCCCCCGGCUUAACCGAGGAGAGUCGUUGGGGACGGCGGAGCUUGAGGGCGGGAGAGGUCGGUGGAAUUCCCGGUGUAGUGGUGAAAUGCGUAGAGAUCGGGAGGAACACCUGUGGCGAAGGCGGCCGACUGGGCCGACCCUGACGCUGAGGCGCGAAGGCGUGGGGAGCGAACGGG